rnacentral:rRNA from 1 species
GACAGAGGGGGCAAGCGUUGUUCGGAAUUACUGGGCGUAAAGGGCUCGUAGGCGGCCAACUAAGUCCGACGUGAAAUCCCCAGGCUUAACCUGGGAACUGCGUCGGAUACUGGAUGGCUUGAAUUCGGGAGAGGGAUGCAGAAUUCCAGGUGUAGCGGUGAAAUGCGUAGAUAUCUGGAGGAAUACCGGUGGCGAAGGCGGCAUCCUGGACCGACAUUGACGCUGAGGAGCGAAAGCUAGGGGAGCAAACGGG